GCCUGGGUGGCUCAGUCGGUUGAGCGUCCGACUUUGGCUCAGGUCGUGAUCUAGCGGUCCGUGAGUUCAAGCCCCACGUCGGGCU
rnacentral:tRNA from 1 species